UCUUAAACUUUAAAAGUUAUUUUUAAAAGCCAACAGCUGAAUAUUAUCAACAUGCUAUAUUUCAAAUCAUAAAUACCUCCUAACCACUUGCAUUCACUCCCUAAUUUCUUAGGAAAGGUUUUAUCAUCCUGGUUUUGCAAAAGAUGAAAGAUUCUCAGAUGGGUAAAUCAGUCAUCAUCAUAUAACCGUUAGGUGGUGGAAACAGAUUUGGACCCAAUUUGAAUCAGGUCAGUUCCUUUAACCCCACCCACUUCUGAACCCAUCAAUUUUCCAGAAACUCCAAGUUUUUCACUAAGAACAGCAACUGUGGCAGGAGGAAAGAGUCCAGACCCUGCAUAUAUUGCUGGACCAGACCUACGCAGCCCAGGGCGUACCUCCUACACGUACUCACUGCUUUAUAAAGUUAUUUUGUGUUUAAAAUCUGACCAGCACUAUUCGUAUUUCCGCAUAGGAUGCUAUAUUUGCCUGUCAGAGAAAUGGGGGGAAAGCAGGUAAACAGUGGUCCAAGUGGGUAAGCUGGGGCUGCUUGUUUUGUUUUUGUUUUUGAUUGACAGUGGCUUGUAACUCAGUUGUCUCAAGAAAUUUAAAAAAUUCACUGCAUGGAAGUAUAUAUGGAAGUAGAGGUAGCCUUCCAUUGCUA